ACGAUAGGAUACGUAUACCUUCAUAUGAAAAAUGAAAAGGGAAAUGUAUAUCCGUUAGUUACAUGUGUCGAACACCGAAUGAUUAUCGCUUACUCAUGAAUGAGAACCAUUGAUGAUAGAAAUAAAAGAGGUGAGAAGAGAAAAUUUCACGAUAGGGUCCAAUUUCGAAAAUGACACAGACUGGUAUCUCUCAAGCUCGGUGAAGGUCUAAUGCUUCGAAAAAGGAGUUAGCACGUUUAAGCACACUUAAGUCACCGCCAUAAGAAAAUGACGAAUGCCAAUUAGCAUAUGAAAAGCUUUCCCUGUUCGCCAGUUCGCUCGGACGAGCGUGGCUGCUAUCUUCGUCGAGGGCAGCUCCUUUCUCCGGCACGCUUGGCAGGGCGAUCACGUUUUUGAAUAUUAAGGGCAGGAUUACACCGAGGGCUUAGCGCGCGAAAUUUAGUCCGGCGGAGCCAGAAACGAAAAGAAAUCACCCUUAAGACCCGAGCGUAACGAAGGAACAAGGAGACACAAGGAAAUCGGUGAGAGAACUAGCUAUAGGGAUGUUUGGCUUCUUUGGCCUUUUUCAAGGUCCUCCUCGCUAACGGCAUGCAUCAUCUUCUUAACCAAUCAUACUGGCUCGUAAUGAUAAAUGAAUAAGCGUGCCAGGGUAGCGGAUAGGUAAUACUCUGAAGAAAAAUGAGUCAGAAGAUUUAGUGUAACUUUGCUGGUUUGAUGGAGGUUAAAAGACAAGAUUGGAGUGUUUAAAAAAUUAUGAAGAUUAUAAUAAGAAAGUUGUUAGGCAUCAGAGGUUCUGGAGUCAAAUUUGGAAAGUAUUACUUUUUUGUCCUAACGAUAGAUAUACAAGAUGGUUAUGAUAAACAGGAUACCCAGUAUAUUUGAAGCAUCGAUGGCCUGUGAAAGAGGUACAGAUGAAGUACUAUAACCGAAAUACAGAAAUGUAUCUGUACACGUAUGUAUGUACAUCUAUAGAUAUUUCGUAUAGAACGAUGCAGGCUUUCCAUUAGCAGAGUAAGUGACCAACGCUCGCAUUUUCUUUGAUGUCAGUUAAUUUACUAAUAACAUCGUUCCACGGGUACUCUCCGUCCACCCUCUAAAUAUUUGUAUCACCAACAUAUCGACUUGUUCUCGUGUAAUUAAGCUACAUUAUUAUUUGAGUGGAAGGAACCCAGGGAAAAAGACCCGUCGUGAGCAAACCCAAACUCGUCCCAAAAUGAACUUUCUAUCAACGGUGCCUGCUAAACUGCUUCAGAUGAGUUUACACUCAACCUAAUGCAAAACGGAUAGCUCUAUGUGUGUGUGAUCAGAAAUUUAUUGAUACAAAAUUCGAAGAACUAAGGUGAGAGAAGGAACCAGCCAGGAAAGAACGAGAGGAGCAACGGUGCUCGCUUUUAAAGGAAAAUGCGAAACAAGGCUUCCCAAAGCGCUGAUGAGAUAACGGUCGUCAACCUAACGAAACCCUGAUGAGGGUGAAAGACGAGUGCUUAACAUGACAAUGGCCACUCAGGGAAAUUCACACCGCUUGCCUGCCAUGUAUUCCUAUCAGAGCCGAUGCAAAGCAGGAUUGCGACCAAGAAUUACCAGUCUCUUACAAAAUACGAACCCUGAUAAAUCGUUCUUUGCUUCAUAUUUUUUCCCGGUGAACUAAAUCAAUUUUUCAGCUACGUGCUCCACGAAUAUUUUUCCAAAUAAUUUUAAGUACGAUAUACUGAAACGAGAAAAUAAUUUUUGAUCCACCGUGUACAAUUAUAAUAAAUACCAUUCAGUAUUGAAAGUUUCCUACCACAAACGAGUUAUACAC